GGCGUUUUGGUUCCCGCGGCUCCCACUAUUCGGACCCUCAGGGCAAACACGAGGCGGCCGACUCGCUGCUCCCUGGAACUGACCGCGUUCUGAGGGUGGGUUCCUAAAGGAGCUUCACACGACCUUGCGUUCUCCAGAGAGCCCAGCACAAGGAGGAAUAAGACGCAUGCCUAUCCUGAAGAAGCUAUAGAAUAUUACGGGACAUAAGAAAAACACCAGUAACCAUAGUACAAAGGAGAAUAUCCACGCUAAUUCUUGAGGAUCUACAGAAAGACAAGAAAAUUUUCCACGUAAAAAAUGGUAAGAAACAGCAGCCAAGGGAUAUCGACGAUGAUUGACAGGGAGAGCCCAACCACAAAUGAGGAAGAGGUGAGAGAAGUGGAAAGAGAACUCCAAAAUCAAAAGGAUGCACAAAUCAUUUUUCUCCUUUUUCCCUCUGCAUCAAAGACAGAUAAAUUCCCUGAGCCUGAAAAUGUCAGGUUAGAAGUCACAGUCCAAAAAGCAACAGGCAAAAUCGAACAGCUUCAGAAAAACCAGUUAGGUGCAAGUUCAGCUAAGAAUGACAAGUACAUAUGCUAGCAUAUUGGCUCUAUCAAGAAAUGAAGAAAAAUGGUAAAUUAGAAAAAAUAAUGGAUUUAAGAAACUCAAGAAAGAAGUUAAAUAAAUAUGAAAAUGCAGAGUUUAGUUCUCAUGGAAAGCUAAAAACCUAUCAGACUGAAAUAGAUGGUCAGAUUAAUAUGCUAGAACACAAGAAACCAGCAGAAUAAUAGAGAACGAUAAUUCUUCUAUAAAAAGUUAUAUAGACCCAGAUCUCAAGAUCUAGAAUUUGAGCUCUCCUGAACAAAAAAUUCCCCCAUGAAGAUGCUACUAAAGCAGAAUUGGUGAAAUAUAAGCAAAUCUAUGUGGAAGAAUUCAAAGUGAGAAAUAACGUUCAGAUAACAAAGAAUAACCGAGAGGCUGGCAGAGUCCAGUACCACACUCUUCAUGGGCACCUGACCCGGAGUCACACAACGUAAUAUUCAAAAUGUCCCAGAUGCAAUCCAAAAUUACCUGACAUUUGAAGAGCCAGGAAAAUCUCAAUAUCUUAUGAAGAAAAAAACAAUUAGCAGAUUUCAAUACUGAGAUGACAAAGACACUGGAAUUAUCAAAGACUUCAAGGCAACCAUUAUAACCAUGCUCCAAAGAAGAAGAGUGAACCCCUUUGAAACAAAUGGGAAGACAGAAGCUCUCAGCAGAGAAACAGAAGAUAUAAAAAGGGACCAAAUAGAAAUUUAAGAGGAAAAAUACCUAUAAUAACCAAAAACUUAAAAAUUCACUGAAUGGGCUCAAUAAGAACAAUGGAGAUGACAGAGGAAAGUCAUUGAAUUUGAAGAUGGAUGAAUAGAAAUUAUCCAAUCUGAACAACAGAGAGAAUAAAGAUUGAAGGAAAAAAUGAACAGAAUCUCAGGGGAUUGUGUGACAAGAUGAAAAGGUCUAAUAUUCAUGUCUUCAGGGUCCCAGAAGGAGAGGAGAAAGUGUAGUGCAGAAAAAAUAUUUGAAGGAAUAAUGGCUGAAAACUCUCCAAAUUUGCAAAAGACAAACAUAGAUUUAAGAAACUCAGUGAAUCCCAAACAAAAUAACUCAAAGAAUUCCACACCAGAUGCAUCAUAAUAAAACUGCUGAAACUAAUAAAGGAAAUUAAGAGAUAUUUAGAACUGAAUGGCAAUACGUGUCAAAAUACAUGUGACUCAGCUAAAGCAGAUUUUAGAGGAAAAUUUGUAACUGUUGUUGACUCUAUCUUGUUUAAAUUCUGUGCAGAAUGAUUUUUUUUUUAAAUCAGUCAAUCAACUACUGUAUGCAUUCUGUUCAGGAUUUUUACUUGCAUUCAGAGGAGAAGUAAAGUGUGCCUACUCCAUUUUGACCAGAAUCAAACCUUAAUUUAUUUUGUUACAUCAAAAUUAAAAUUCUAUUCAAUAAAAGACACCACAUAGACAAAGCUAAUAGGUAGCUGACAAAAUGGGAGCAGAUACUCUUAAUGUCUAAAACCAAUAAGCAGAUUGAUAUAUAGAAUGUACAAAGCAAUUCUGCUCCUGAGUAUAUCUCUCAAGGAAAUUUUCAAGCACGUCCAUAAAGGGAGAAAGGGAGGAGGAAAAAGGAAGAGUAAGGUAGGAGUAAAAGAAGUGAAGAGAGUGUGGAAUAGAGUGAGGGGGAGAAAAAUGAAUAUUGAUUCCACUCCAAUGCUCAAUAAAUAUUUUUUUGUAUUUUUAUAAAUGCGUAAUUGAUCAGUGAAUAUUGGUUCAUAAUGAUAAACUAUGAGCAAAUUGUG